rnacentral:rRNA from 1 species
GAUGAACGCUGGCGGCGUGCCUAAUACAUGCAAGUCGAGCGAACAGAUGAGGAGCUUGCUCCUCUGACGUUAGCGGCGGACGGGUGAGUAACACGUGGAUAACCUACCUAUAAGACUGGGAUAACUUCGGGAAACCGGAGCUAAUACCGGAUAAUAUAUUCAACCGCAUGGUUCAAUAGUGAAAGACGGUUUUGCUGUCACUUAUAGAUGGAUCCGUGCCGCAUUAGCUAGUUGGUAAGGUAACGGCUUACCAAGGCAACGAUGCGUAGCCGACCUGAGAGGGUGAUCGGCCACACUGGAACUGAGACACGGUCCAGACUCCUACGGGAGGCAGCAGUAGGGAAUCUUCCGCAAAGGGCGAAAGCCUGACGGAGCAACGCCGCGUGAGUGAUGAAGGUCUUCGGAUCGUAAAACUCUGUUAUUAGGGAAGAACAAAUGUGUAAGUAACUAUGCACGUCUUGACGGUACCUAAUCAGAAAGCCACGGCUAACUACGUG